rnacentral:rRNA from 1 species
UACGGAGGGUGCGAGCGUUGUCCGGAAUCACUGGGCGUAAAGGGUGCGUAGGUGGUGAGGUAAGUCGGAUGUGAAAGCUCGGAGCUCAACUCCGAAAUGGCAUUGGAAACUACCUCGCUAGAGGAUCGGAGGGGAGACUGGAAUUCUCGGUGUAGCAGUGAAAUGCGUAGAUAUCGAGAGGAACACCAGUGGCGAAGGCGAGUCUCUGGACGAUUCCUGACGCUGAGGCACGAAAGCCAGGGGAGCAAACGGG